rnacentral:rRNA from 1 species
AAUCAAGCGCAUAAGGGCAUUUUGUGGAUGCCUUGGCACUAAGAGGCGAUGAAGGACGUGAUAGGCUGCGAUAAGCCACGGGGAGAUGUCAAUAAUCUUUGAUCCGUGGAUUUCCGAAUGGGGAAACCCACCACAUUAAGUGGUAUGGCAAUCUGAAUACAUAGGGUUGUCAAGCAAACCUGGGGAACUGAAACAUCUAAGUACCCAGAGGAAAGGACAUCAACCGAGACUCCGUUAGUAGUGGCGAGCGAACGCGGACCAGGCCAGUGGUCUUUUGUGAAGAACUAGAAUUGUCUGGAAAGGCAAACCAUAGUGGGUGAUAGUCCCGUAUAGGUAGAAACACAUUAGAUCCUCGAGUAAGGCGGGACACGUGAAAUCCUGUUUGAACAUGGGGGGACCACCCUCCAAGCCUAAGUACUCCUUAGUGACCGAUAGUGAACAAGUACCGUGAGGGAAAGGUGAAAAGCACCCCGACGAGGGGAGUGAAAUAGUAUCUGAAACAGAAUGCCUACAAGCAGUCGGAGCGAUCAAGAUUCUUAGGAAUCUUUGAGUCGUGACGGCGUACCUCUUGUAUAAUGGGUCAGCGAGUUCGUUUAUGUAGCAAGCUUAAGCCGAUAGGUGUAGGCGUAGGGAAACCGAGUCUGAAUAGGGCGACUGAGUUACAUGGAUGAGACCCGAAACCGGGUGAUCUAGUCAUGGACAGGCUGAAGGUGCGGUAACACGCACUGGAGGGCCGAACCAUAUCCUGUUGCAAAAGGUGUGGAUGAUCUGUGAUUAGGGGUGAAAGGCCAAUCAAACCCGGAAAUAGCUGGUUCUCCGCGAAAACUAUUGAGGUAGUGCGUCGUUUGUUUACCAUCGGGGGUAGAGCACUGGAUGGGCUAGGGGGGAGCGAUCCUUACCAAACCUAACCAAACUCCGAAUACCGAUGAGUAUAGAACGGCAGACAGACGGUGGGUGCUAAGGUCCAUCGUCGAAAGGGAAACAGCCCUAACCGCCAUCUAAGGUCCCCAAGUUAUGGCUAAGUGGGAAAGGAUGUGGGAAGGCCAAGACAGCCAGGAGGUUGGCUUAGAAGCAGCCAUCCUUUAAAGAAAGCGUAAUAGCUCACUGGUCUAGUUAAGCUAGCCUGCGCCGAAAAUGUAACGGGGCUAAAGCCAUGCACCGAAGAUGCGGGUUUCAAUUGCUUUCGAGCAAUUGGAGCGGUAGCGGAGCGUUCCGUAAGCCUGCGAAGGUAAUCCGUAAGGGUUGCUGGAGGUAUCGGAAGCGAGAAUGCUGACAUGAGUAACGUAAAGGAGUGUGAGAGACACUCCCGCCGUAAGUCCAAGGGUUCCUGCGCAAGGGUAAUCCGCGCAGGGUUAGCCGGCCCCUAAGGCGAGGACGAAAGUCGUAGUCGAUGGGAAUCAGGUGAAUAUUCCUGAGCCAGCUGGUAGUGACGAAGGCCGAAAUGUGUUUCCUCUUAUUGGAUUGAGAGAGGCACGCUAGGACUUCCAGGAAAUAGCUCCAGCAAUAAGACCGUACCCGAAACCGACACUGGUGGACGAGUAGAGUAUACUAAGGCGCUUGAGAGAAUGAUGUUGAAGGAACUCGGCAAAUUGACCUCGUAACUUCGGGAGAAGAGGUACCUUUUCGAGGGCAACCUUGAGGAGGUGACACAAACUAGGGGGUAGCGACUGUUUACCUAAAACACAGGACUCUGCAAAGAUGAAAAUCGACGUAUAGGGUCUGACGCCUGCCCGGUGCUGGAAGGUUAAAAGGAGAUGUGCAAGCAUUGAAUUGAAGCCCCAGUAAACGGCGGCCGUAACUAUAACGGUCCUAAGGUAGCGAAAUUCCUUGUCGGGUAAGUUCCGACCUGCACGAAUGGCGUAACGACUUCCCCGCUGUCUCCAACAUCAACUC